GUGGGGAAUAUUGGACAAUGGGCGCAAGCCUGAUCCAGCCAUGCCGCGUGAGUGAUGAAGGCCUUAGGGUUGUAAAGCUCUUUCAGUGGGGACGAUAAUGACGGUACCCACAGAAGAAGCCCCGGCUAACUUCGUGCCAGCAGCCGCGGUAAUACGAAGGGGGCUAGCGUUGUUCGGAUUUACUGGGCGUAAAGCGCACGUAGGCGGGUCGUUAAGUCAGGGGUGAAAUCCUGGAGCUCAACUCCAGAACUGCCUUUGAUACUGGCGACCUAGAGUCCGGAAGAGGUGAGUGGAACUCCUAGUGUAGAGGUGGAAUUCGUAGAUAUUAGGAAGAACACCAGUGGCGAAGGCGGCUCACUGGUCCGGUACUGACGCUGAGGUGCGAAAGCGUGGGGAGCAAACAGGAUUAGAUACCCUAGUAGUCC
rnacentral:rRNA from 1 species